rnacentral:rRNA from 1 species
ACUCCUACGGGAGGCAGCAGUAAGGAAUAUUGGUCAAUGGACGCAAGUCUGAACCAGCCAUGCCGCGUGGAGGAUGAAGGUCCUCUGGAUUGUAAACUUCUUUUAUCUGGGAAGAAACCCAUGUUUUCUAACGUGGUUGACGGUACCAGAUGAAUAAGCACCGGCUAACUCCGUGCCAGCAGCCGCGGUAAUACGGAGGGUGCAAGCGUUAUCCGGAUUCACUGGGUUUAAAGGGUGCGUAGGUGGGCAGGUAAGUCAGUGGUGAAAUCUCUGGGCUUAACCCAGAAACUGCCGUUGAUACUAUCUGUCUUGAAUAUAGUGGAGGUGAGCGGAAUAUGUCAUGUAGCGGUGAAAUGCUUAGAUAUGACAUAGAACACCCAUUGCGAAGGCAGCUCGCUACACUAUUAUUGACACUGAGGCACGAAAGCGUGGGGAUCAAACAGGAUUAGAUACCCUGGUAGUCCACGCCCUAAACGAUGGAUACUCGACAUCAGCGAUACACUGUUGGUGUCUGAGCGAAAGCAUUAAGUAUCCCACCUGGGAAGUACGACCGCAAGGUUGAAACUUAAAGGAAUUGACG